UACGGAGGGUGCGAGCGUUGUCCGGAAUCAUUGGGCGUAAAGGGCGCGUAGGUGGCGGGACAAGCGUGCGGUGAAAGCCUGGGGCUCAACCCCGGGUCGGCCGUGCGAACUGUUUUGCUUGAGCACUGUAGAGGCAGGCGGAAUUCCGGGUGUAGCGGUGGAAUGCGUAGAGAUCGGGAAGAACACCAGUGGCGAAAGCGCUCUACUAGGCCGUGACUGACACUGAGAGACGAUAGCUAGGGGAGCGAAUGGG
rnacentral:rRNA from 1 species